rnacentral:rRNA from 1 species
AUGCACCUUGACUCCACUAUAUGUGUCCUUUGCAACAGUGAAGACUAUGAAGACAGGACUCAUCUUUUAUUCACCUGUCCAUUUAGUCAAGGUUUCUGGUGGAACAUUGGUUUUUAAUGGAAUUCGGAUAUGGAGAUCAACAAUAUGAUUAUUGAUGCUAAGCACAGAUAUAAACUUGAACAUUUCAUGGAAGUCAUGAUUCUUGGAUGCUGGAGCAUAUGGAACCAAAGGAAUGGGAUGAUUUUUGAAGGGAUACCUUGCUCAAUAAAUGAUUGCAAAAAUGAUUUUGUCAGAUAUUUCAAAACGACCAUGCUAAGAGCUAAGCCCACUUUAAAAGAGGGCAUGUCCUCAUGGAUAGACAAUAUUUAA